GACGAACGCUGGCGGCGUGCUUAACACAUGCAAGUCGAACGGUAAGGCCCUUCGGGGUACACGAGUGGCGAACGGGUGAGUAACGCGUGGGUGAUCUGCCCUGCACUUCGGGAUAAGCCUGGGAAACUGGGUCUAAUACCGGAUAGGACUCCGGACUGCAUGGUCUGGGGUGGAAAGCUUUUGCGGUGUGGGAUGGGCCCGCGGCCUAUCAGCUUGUUGGUGGGGUGAUGGCCUACCAAGGCGACGACGGGUAGCCGGCCUGAGAGGGUGACCGGCCACACUGGGACUGAGAUACGGCCCAGACUCCUACGGGAGGCAGCAGUGGGGAAUAUUGCACAAUGGGCGCAAGCCUGAUGCAGCGACGCCGCGUGAGGGAUGACGGCCUUCGGGUUGUAAACCUCUUUCAGCAUCGACGUAGCGAAAGUGACGGUAGGUGCAGAAUAAGCACCGGCUAACUACGUGCCAGCCGCCGCAGUAA
rnacentral:rRNA from 1 species